rnacentral:rRNA from 1 species
CACGUAGGGUCCGAGCGUUGUCCGGAAUUACUGGGCGUAAAGCGCGCGCAGGCGGCCCCGACACAUCGGCGGUGAAAGCCCCCCCGCUUAACGGGGGGAGGGUCCGUCGUGAUGGUCGGGCUGGAGGCAGGGAGAGGGCGGUGGAAUUCCGGGUGUAGUGGUGAAAUGCGUAGAGAUCCGGAGGAACACCAGUGGCGAAGGCGGCCGCCCUGGACCUGACCCUGACGCUGAGGCGCGAAGGCGCGGGGGAGCGAACGGGG